rnacentral:miRNA from 1 species
UGUAGGCAUGGGUGUUUG